rnacentral:tRNA from 1 species
GUUCAUGUAGCUUAAGACCAAAGCAAAGCACUGAAAAUGCUUAGAUGAGCCCUAAGGGCUCCAUAAACA